rnacentral:lncRNA from 1 species
UUUUUUACAUUACUGGGGACACUAGUGCAUGCAGAAACUUCUCCCUUAACCCCUACCAAGUGUUGCUUGAACCUAUGUACCCCACUACUUAUCACUCUUUGACAGUAAUUACAAAUAAUUUUGAACCUAUGUACCCCACUACUUAUCACUCUUUGACAGUAAUUACAAAUAAUUUUGUCUUUCUUGUUGAGAUCAAGUCUGACCCCAUGUUGCCAUGCAGGGUCUUCUGCAGAUCCUGACAUGAUUCAACUGUUUUAAGAUGUAAGAAGUAUAAAAUUAACCUGAUAGUUCAAAAAGAAAAAUAAUCACUAUGUGUAGUGAUAAUAUGUUGCGGUAGUUCAUGUAGUCAUAUUUGUUGUUAUUUGUUAUUGCAAAAUACAUU